GUGCAUGGCGCGUGCUAUACUGCAGUCGAGCGAAUCGAUGGGAGCUUGCUCCCUGAGAUUAGCGGCGGACGGGUGAGUAACACGUGGGCAACCUGCCUAUAAGACUGGGAUAACUUCGGGAAACCGGAGCUAAUACCGGAUACGUUCUUUUCUCGCAUGAGAGAAGAUGGAAAGACGGAUUACGCUGUCACUUAUAGAUGGGCCCGCGGCGCAUUAGCUAGUUGGUGAGGUAAUGGCUCACCAAGGCGACGAUGCGUACCCGACCUGAGAGGGUGAUCGGCCACACUGGGACUGAGACACGGCCCAGACUCCUACGGGAGGCAGCAGUAGGGAAUCUUCCGCAAUGGACGAAAGUCUGACGGAGCAACGCCGCGUGAACGAAGAAGGCCUUCGGGUCGUAAAGUUCUGUUGUUAGGGAAGAACAAGUACCAGAGUAACUGCUGGUACCUUGACGGUACCUAACCAGAAAGCCACGGCUAACUACGUGCCAGCAGCCGCGGUAAUACGUAGGUGGCAAGCGUUGUCCGGAAUUAUUGGGCGUAAAGCGCGCGCAGGUGGUUCCUUAAGUCUGAUGUGAAAGCCCACGGCUCAACCGUGGAGGGUCAUUGGAAACUGGGGAACUUGAGUGCAGAAGAGGAAAGUGGAAUUCCAAGUGUAGCGGUGAAAUGCGUAGAGAUUUGGAGGAACACCAGUGGCGAAGGCGACUUUCUGGUCUGUAACUGACACUGAGGCGCGAAAGCGUGGGGGAGCAAACAGGAUUAGAUACCCUGGUAGUCCACGCCGUAAACGAUGAGUGCUAGGUGUUAGAGGGUUUCCGCCCUUUACUGCUGCAGCUAACGCAUUAAGCACUCCGCCUGGGGAGUACGGCCGCAGGCUGAACUCAAGGAAUUGACGGGGGCCCGCCACAGCGGUGGAGCAUGUGGGUUAUUCGAAGCACGCGAGACCAUACCAGGUCUUGACUCCUCUGACACCCUACAGAUAGGACUUUCCCUCUUCGCGGGACGAGUGACAGGUGGUGCAUGGUUGUCGUCCAGCUCCUCGUCGUCGAGAUUGUAGGUUAAGUCCCGCCACCAACGCCACCCCUUGGAUUCUUUAGUUUGCCAGCAUUCAUUGGCCACUCUAAGGUGACUGACCGUGACCACCGACGAGAGGGAGUACGUCAUCAUCAUGCCUUAUGUACCUGACUUCACUCGUGCUCAAUGCAUGCUCACGGCUUGCAAACCUUGCCUACGCUAGCCCGAUA
rnacentral:rRNA from 1 species